UACGUAGGGUGCAAGCGUUGUCCGGAAUUAUUGGGCGUAAAGAGCUCGUAGGCGGUUUGUUGCGUCGGCUGUGAAAUCCCGAGGCUCAACCUCGGGUCUGCAGUCGAUACGGGCAGACUUGAGUGCUGUAGGGGAGACUGGAAUUCCUGGUGUAGCGGUGAAAUGCGUAGAUAUCUGGAGGAACACCGGUGGCGAAGGCGGCAUCCUGGACCGGCAUUGACGCUGAGGAGCGAAGCCAGGGAGCAAAGCGGG
rnacentral:rRNA from 1 species